ACGAACGCUGGCGGCGUGCUUAACACAUGCAAGUCGAACGAGAAUCACUGGAAGGAGUUUUCGGACAACGGAAGGUGAGGACAGUGGCGGACGGGUGAGUAACGCGUGAGGAACCUGCCUUUCAGAGGGGGACAACAGUUGGAAACGACUGCUAAUACCGCAUGACACAUAGAGAUCGCAUGGUUUUUAUGUCAAAGAUUUAUCGCUGAAAGAUGGCCUCGCGUCUGAUUAGCUGGUUGGUGAGGUAACGGCCCACCAAGGCGACGAUCAGUAGCCGGACUGAGAGGUUGACCGGCCACAUUGGGACUGAGAUACGGCCCAGACUCCUACGGGAGGCAGCAGUGGGGAAUAUUGCACAAUGGGGGAAACCCUGAUGCAGCGACGCCGCGUGAGCGAAGAAGUAUUUCGGUAUGUAAAGCUCUAUCAGCAGGGAAGAAGAUGACGGUACCUGACUAAGAAGCCCCGGCUAACUACGUGCCAGCAGCCGCGGUAAUACGUGGGGGCAAGCGUUAUCCGGAUUUACUGGGUGUAAAGGGAGGGUAGA
rnacentral:rRNA from 1 species